rnacentral:rRNA from 1 species
ACCUACGGGGGGCAGCAGUAGGGAAUUUUCGUCAAUGGGCGCAAGCCUGAACGAGCAAUGCCGCGUGAACGAGGAAGGUCUUCGGAUCGUAAGGUUCUGUUGAAGGGGAAAAAGAGCGGAGAGAGGAAAUGGUCUCCGAUUGAUAUUACCCUUCGAGGAAGUCACGGCUAACUACGUGCCAGCAGCCGCGGUAAUACGUAGGUGGCGAGCGUUAUCCGGAAUGACUGGGCGUAAAGGGUGCGUAGGCGGCCUGCUAAGUCUGGAGUGAAAGGUACCGGCUCAACCGGUACAGGCUCUGGAAACUG